rnacentral:lncRNA from 1 species
UGUUCCUGUUCUUGCUUGUCCUUAAGUAAAUUGCUGUAAGUACUGAGUUUAGCCUGUAGUAAUGAAGAGUUGGUUUCAAGACCCUUACCUGAAACUAGUAGUAGAGUAGUAGCCUCUGGGUCGGGUAGUAGUAGCCUCUGCUCUGGGUCGGGUAGAGUUGUGCUGCGGUACUAUACGUGACUUGGCAGACUUGGUAAUUGUAUUGAAUAAAUAGAUUAACCUUUUCCGGUAGUUGUAUUGAAUAGAGGCACCCUUUCUCCUCCCUUGGUUUAAUAAGAGAGGAUGGGUCGGCAGCCAAUAAGAAUGGAGUUUACUAGCCAAUAAGAAUGGAGUUUACUAGCCAAUAAGAAUGGAGUUUACUUAACACCUUCGGAAUCGAUAAACACAGAUUCAAACAAAGAGAUCUUUGCAGGGCUCUGGCCCCUACUAAUUCUGUAUUGAUCUUUAUAUAGGAUGAAAUUGAUGAUUACACUCGGGAAAGCCUUUCACUCCUAUGUAAACUAAUAAAGUGGUAGCUCAUCUACUGCUAUAGUUGUCGAUGUAGACUUGAUUCGCCCAUAAAGAUUUUAGGAAUAAAUGAAUUUCUCGGGACCUUUUCUUAGUUUCAAUGAAUUUCCUCAUAAGAGUAGUUUCCCCGCUUUGUAGCAGUUGCUUGGCCCUAUUGUCGUAGUGGCUUGCCUGUUCGAGGAAGAA